rnacentral:lncRNA from 1 species
UGCAUACCUUCAUGUUUUUCAGUUAUACAUAUUAUGUUCUCAAGAAUGAAAUAUAUGCCAAAUCUGAUAAAACAAGUGCUUCUUUGGAUAUUACUCUUUAAGCAAUGCAUAUAGUGUUGGGAACCCGCCCAUGCCGCUGAUAUUUCAAAAAUUUUCAGAUGGCAGCGGAAUCGGCAUGCACGGGUUCGACGUUCAUCGCAUGAACGCUUGUUUCGAGACCUUUCGUAAUUAGGUAAGAAUUAAAACUUUUAGAACUAAUAGGAAGAUCAAAUCUUCACCUUGCGCGGGUAGAUGAUCACCGCGAAUCUGAAUUCGUGGUUUUGGAAGAGGGUUCGUUUGAAGCCGUUCAAACGUCCGGCC